UUUCUCUAAAACCCAUCAAACCGGACCCAUAUUCACCCCUACUAAACCCUACACUUAACCCCAUAUUCGUAUCUCAACUACAAUCUCAUCAUAAUCUUCACAUAUUUCCAUGGCAGAAAUUCACGUCGAAGACGCUUACACCAUCUCAAGCAUGCGUUUCCUCUUGACCAUGAAAGCAUUCCAAGCCAUAAUAAUCAACAGCAGCACCGACCCCGACAUAGCCGAACUCGACGUGAUCAUCGCCCAAAAUCCCCACCUCGCGGCCCCGCUAACCCGGUUUCGUCGAAGUUUCUUGGAGAACAAGGCACGCAGAGUUGAAGCCAUCUUUAGUUGUAAUCUCGUUGAUGCACCGUAUCUUGAAGUGAACGAUGUCUCGAGCUCGGAGUACGUGAGAUAUUUGCGAGAGAAGUGUAGGUGGACCGGGAUGGCGUGUUAUGAUGAGAAUCUUGAUGGGAAUUUGAAGAAUGAUGUUAGGAAGGUGCUUGGUGAUGUGCCGUGUCGCGUGAAGAGGGUCAUGGAGGACGGGAGGAUUGUGUUGGUGCCGCUGCCACCGGAACAAAUGGAGCAGCACAGUCAGGACGGAUCUAGGAAAAGGUACGAGACACGAUCUAAGAAGAGAUGCAUCUGAUAGGGGAAAAGAUGACAGAGAGAAUGUAUGGAAUUACUGUGGCAUUGCAAACUGAUAUGACUAGGAACAAAGUGCUUGUGGUUGAGGCAUGUACACAGAGAUUUGCAGCUGAAACCAGAAAACUUGCUACUUUUAAUAAUUUUGUUGAGGUUUUUGAGAUUUCUUGAAACUGUGUUUCAUAGUUCAGACCUACAUUGGAUCUUAUGUUUUUUCAUUAUGAAUUUAUACUUAUUUCUUGCCUAGUAAAUUGAAGUUUCUGAAGUAA